AGAAAGUGCGUCGUGGACCUGAGCAUUUACAUUAAGUAGCACUCCAGAGUUUCCAGAAUCUUCUGCUUGAACUUUGACCUCAUGUGAACCUCAUGUGUGUGUCCACAGAUUGCUGAGAUCCUGACCAACAUGAAACCGUCUGUCCUCCUGACGCUGCGAGGCUUGAACACAGACAGUGGCAGUAUCUGCCGUGAAGCAUCGUUUGAUGGAAUCAGCCGAGACGCUGUACAGAUCUGCUGUCGGUCUGCUCUUUGAUGUAAGACACAGAUCCAGAAGAUGAAAUGUUCUUUAUCGCUCUGAUUAAACUGCAGUUCAGUAAAUCAGCAGAUCUGUGAGACGGAAUCGGAUGAGAAAGUUUCCGAGGCUUUGAUUAAAGACGAAUCUCUCGGCUCUCGCCGGAUCCCGACGAGCGCUUUUUAAUCUGAUGUUUAU